rnacentral:rRNA from 1 species
GUGGUCAAGCUAAUAAGGGCUCAUGGUGGAUACCUAGGCACACAGAGGCGAAGAAGGACGUGGUUACCUGCGAAAAGUUCCGGGGAGUUGGAAGCAAACAGAGAGCCGGAAAUAUCCGAAUGGGGCAACCCUGAAAACUGCCUGUUGAAUAUAUAGACAGGAAAGAGCGAACCUGGCGAAUUGAAACAUCUUAGUAGCCAGAGGAAAAGAAAUCAAAAGAGAUUCCCCGAGUAGCGGUGAGCGAAAGGGGAAGAGCCUAAACCAAGGGGUAUACCUCUUGGGGUAGUGGGACAGCAACAUCGAAUCCAGAGACUAGACGAAGCAGCUAAAUACUGCACCAGAGGGGGUGAAAGUCCUGUAGUCGAAAGUCAAAGGAUAGAAGCUGAAUCCCGAGUAGUA